UACGUAGGGGGCAAGCGUUGUCCGGAUUUAUUGGGCGUAAAGAGCGUGUAGGCGGCUAGGUAGGUCCGUUGUGAAAACUCGAGCUCAACCUCGAGACGCCGGUGGAAACCAUCUAGCUAGAGUCCGGAAGAGGAGACUGGAAUUCCUGGUGUAGCGGUGAAAUGCGCAGAUAUCAGGAGGAACACUGGUGGCGAAGGCGGGUCUCUGGGCAGUAACUGACGCUGAGGAGCGAAAGCGUGGGGAGCGAACAGG
rnacentral:rRNA from 1 species